rnacentral:lncRNA from 1 species
AAUAGCAAGAGACGACAACAAAGGAAUAUGACAACAAAUUUAAAAGAAAUAAAAGAAAAAUGAAACAGAAAGAAAGAAGAAGAAGAAAAUAACGUUAGAGGAAAAGAAAAUGGGAAAAAGAAAUGGAAGUAGUGGAAAGAGAAGAACAUAAAAAAUUUGCGAAAAUUGCUAAAAUCCUCACUUGCCAGAAAAUUAAACGCCUCACGAACCACCCUUAGCAAAAUCAACACUAAUGAAACCAAAAGACCUUCCAAAGAUAUCAAGACAACUACUCUAAAAUGAAACUAACUAAUUAUACUUACCUGAAGAUUUUAAUAACACUGACGCAGUCUAAAUGGCAACACAACAGAAUAUAGGUCGGUAAUGAAGAGACAAUAGUAAGAGACGUCAAUAGGAGAAUAUGGAAACAAAUGUAAAAGAAACAAAAGAAAACGAAACUAGAAGAAAGAAGAAGAAAAAAUAACAUUAGAGGAACCGAGAAUGAGAAAAAGAAAUUGAAGUAGUGGAAAGAGAAGAAAAUAAAAAAUUUGGAGAAAUUGCUAAAAUCCUCAUUCGCCAAAAGAUUAAACGCCUUAUGAACCUCCCUAGCAAAAUCACAACUAAUGAAAGCAAAAGACCUUCCAAUGAUAUCAAGACAACCAUCCUAAAACGAAACUAACGAAUUAUACUUACCUAAUGAUUUUAAGAACACCAACACAGUCUAAAUGGCGGCACAAUAGAAGAUAGGUCGGCAAUAAAGAAACAAUAGUGAGAGACGACAACAAAGGAAUAUAGCAACAAAUGUAAAAGAAACGAAGGAAAAAUGAGACAAAAAGGAAGAAGAAGAAAAAAUAACAUUAGAGGAACAUAAAAGGGGAAAAAGAAAUAGAAGUUGUGGAAAGAGAGGAACAUAAAAAAUUUGGGGAAAUUCCUAAAAUCCUCAUUCGCCAGAAGAGUAAACACCUCACGAACCACCCUAAAAAAUCAGUACUAAUGAAAGUA